rnacentral:rRNA from 1 species
AUUGAACGCUGGCGGCAGGCUUAACACAUGCAAGUCGAGCGGGGUGAUGGUGCUUGCACUAUCACUUAGCGCCGGACGGGUGAGUAAUGCUUAGGAAUCUGCCUAUUAGUGGGGGACAACAUCUCGAAAGGGAUGCUAAUACCGCAUACGUCCUACGGGAGAAAGCAGGGGAUCACUUGUGACCUUGCGCUAAUAGAUGAGCCUAAGUCGGAUUAGCUAGUUGGUGGGGUAAAGGCCUACCAAGGCGACGAUCUGUAGCGGGUCUGAGAGGAUGAUCCGCCACACUGGGACUGAGACACGGCCCAGAUUCCUACGGGAGGCAGCAGUGGGGAAUAUUGGACAAUGGGGGGAACCCUGAUCCAGCCAUGCCGCGUGUGUGAAGAAGGCCUUAUGGUUGUAAAGCACUUUAAGCGAGGAGGAGGCUCUUUUGGUUAAUACCCAAGAUGAGUGGACGUUACUCGCAGAAUAAGCACCGGCUAACUCCGUGCCAGCAGCCGCGGUAA